UACAGAGGGGGCAAGCGUUGUUCGGAAUUACUGGGCGUAAAGGGCGCGUAGGUGGCCUUCUAAGUCAUGCGUGAAAUCCCCGGGCUCAACCCGGGAACUGCGUCUGAUACUGGAAGGCUUGAAUCCGGGAGAGGGAUGCGGAAUUCCAGGUGUAGCGGUGAAAUGCGUAGAUAUCUGGAGGAACACCGGUGGCGAAGGCGGCAUCCUGGACCGGUAUUGACGCUGAGGCGCGAAAGCUAGGGGAGCAAACGGG
rnacentral:rRNA from 1 species